rnacentral:rRNA from 1 species
AGUUUGAUCAUGGCUCAGAAUCAACGCUGGCGGCGUGCCUAACACAUGCAAGUCGAACGAGAAAGGGUAGCAAUACCUGAGUAAAGUGGCGCACGGGUGAGUAACACGUGACUAACCUACCCUGGAGUGGGGGAUAACUGAGGGAAACCUUAGCUAAUACCGCAUAAUACCCACGGGUCAAAGGAGCAAUUCGCUCCAGGAGGGGGUCGCGGCCGAUUAGUUAGUUGGCGGGGUAACGGCCCACCAAGACGAUGAUCGGUAUCCGGCCUGAGAGGGCGCACGGACACACUGGAACUGAAACACGGUCCAGACUCCUACGGGAGGCAGCAGUGGGGAAUUUUGCGCAAUGGGGGAAACCCUGACGCAGCAACGCCGCGUGGAGGAUGAAGUCCUUCGGGACGUAAACUCCUUUCGAUCGGGACGAUUAUGACGGUACCGGAAGAAGAAGCCCCGGCUAACUUCGUGCCAGCAGCCGCGGUAAUACGAGGGGGGCGAGCGUUGUUCGGAAUUAUUGGGCGUAAAGGGUGCGUAGGCGGUUUGGUAAGUCUUGUGUGAAAUCUACAGGCUCAACUUGUAGUCUGCACGAGAAACUGCCGGGCUUGAGUGUGGGAGAGGUGAGUGGAAUUCCUGGUGUAGCGGUGAAAUGCGUAGAUAUCAGGAGGAACACCUGUGGCGAAAGCGGCUCACUGGACCAUAACUGACGCUGAUGCACGAAAGCUAGGGGAGCAAACAGGAUUAGAUACCCUGGUAGUCCUAGCCCUAAACGAUGACUGCUUGGUGUGACGGGUACCCAAUCCCGCCGUGCCGUAGCUAACGCGUUAAGCAGUCCGCCUGGGGAGUACGGUCGCAAGGCUGAACUCAAAGGAAUUGACGGGGGCCCGCACAAGCGGUGGAGCAUGUGGUUUAAUUCGACGCAACGCGAAGAACCUUACCUGGGCUCGAAAUG